CGAGUGGUCAUCAAUUUACUUGACGGAGGAGCAAUACCUAGAGAACACCUAGAAGAAGUGGUGUUUGAAGGAGUCUACUCCAAUGCCUGCUCAUCAAGUGGAUGGAGCUAUCUAACUAAAGGUUGGGUAGAAGGAUUUUGGGAUCUUCUCCUGCACUAAGGCAAGCCCCGGUGCAUUUGCCCCUUCCUUGUGUUUUAAAUGCUUUAUCACCUAAAAUGAUGCAUUAGGUGAUAGGAGUUGUGUGAUGAACAAUUGAUGCAUUACCAUUUCUUGGAAGUUGAAUACUUUACCUUGAUCCCUGAUUUAUAAAAAGAACUGAUAAUGCUUAACCCUACUUAGAAACAGAAAAAUCAUUUGUUUUCAAAAAGAAUGAUUAUGGAACAUUGGUUAUGGGCUUUUUGAUUCAAAAAUCAAAGCAAACUAAGGUGAUGAUUCCUCUACGGCCGGAGUGGACUCGUCACUCGAAAAGAGUACCCCUGCCGGGUACCAAAAAUGGGGAAAUGGUUAAUAAAUCUAGACCAGGCGCUGAGCAGACAGAGUCGCCCGUCUGUGUCGAUUAAGUACCGUACCGUUGACUGGCCUGUUGUGGUUGAGACUUUGCAACUAGCCACAUACCCUGGUAUGGGACAGGGUAAGCUUGAACCCGGCUAUUCCAUACGUGAAGAGACAAUCGCGCACUGGGAGUGGAGAGAUGGCGGGAGUAGCAUGUACCCUCCUGGCAUAGUAGCACGCCUGGUAGGGUAAUGUGCUCUCGGGUGGCGCGGACCUGUUCAUGUAGUGGUGGACUCCGUGGGAACGGUCGACAUAUGCAAGGGUUAAGUGCUACAUAUGUCGUGUGGUUAGAGAUCCCCAGCUGGGUAUAAUCGGUUCGAAUCGUCGUUGCUCCUCGGUUAUGGAGACUCAUCCCGGUGACCAUCAUCGUAGUUAGCAAGUGAAAUAUGAGAAUGAAUAAAAUGGAGCUAGUAUAGGCCAAGUGCUUGAACUAGAUCAUGCAAAUAUAGAUUCAGGUAAUAACCUAACUAGUGAAAUAAAACUUGGCUUAAGGAUCAACUGGUAGCAAGCUUUUCUGCAAAAAAAGAGUCUUUGAUCAUUGAUAAACUUUACCUUGACUCCCAAUCAGCUAGCAUACCCUUGAGAGUCUUUUCUUUAGUCGGGUAAGUCUUGCUGAGUAAUUGCAUACUCAGGGUUUUAUCCCCUGUUGUUUUUGCAGGAGAAGUUUUAUUCCCUUAUCUUAUGGUUAGUUACUUCAUGUGGAGGCCUUGAAGCUUAGAAUGUUUAUGUGUAUCUCUUAUGGAAAGGCUUCACCCUUCCAAUUAUUUUAAUAAGUUAUGCACUUUGGGUAUUAUCAGGACUUGUAAUAAUUACCAUUCUUCUUAUGUUGUAAAACUUGAGCUUUGGAAACGUAAAAUAUGUUUUGUAAAGUCUUCCGCUCUAUCUCUGAAGUGUGUGUGUAUCGAGUGUGAUUACUGUAAUAUGCAUGAAUGUGGGAGAUCCUUGGCAUGAUGAGUUCGAGUUGGUGAACUCGAUAGCCUUGUUAAGUUACCCGGUACACGUGCGCAGCCAUCUGAGGCCGUUAAUGGCAAGGGUUGGUGCAUGUGGGCCUGAUAACUUGGGAGGGCUGUCACAGCGUGGUAUCGGAGCGAUCCCCCAUUAUCAUGGAUAUUAAAGCAAUCCUUUGAUAAACUUCAAAAGGAUUUUGAGUCCAAACUAUUUUGGAAAAACUUAAGAAUAUGAUCAAAUCCUGAUAGUCGAAGUGCAAAUAGUAUAUAGUUAAGUUAAGAACUAUAAGGUGGCUUAGUUUAGGAUGCUAACCACUAACCCACAACUAUAAUGCAAUUUUUUUGCAGGUACACUAACUAAACCCUAUGAAAGUGCGACUAGUGAUAAAUAAUGAGUGAGUAGGUAUGCCACCGCCAUAGAACGUGAAAGCCACCAUAUGUUGGCAAGAAUUGUGAGGACGAAUAGGACGAGCAUGCAUCAUGACAUACAAUUUUAAAUUAAGCCCCCUAUGUAGCAGUAUUAGUACAUGUUUCGUCCACCCUAUUCCUGCUAUCUGUCUUUGCCUUUCUAUGCUAUCUUUUCCUGUUCACGAAGACUACCAAGCUUCGAAACAAAGGUUUUGGUGAACCUGUGGCUUAUAAGGAACAAUUGUUAGAAGAUCUUCCAAUAGUGCACAACAUGUUCCACGUGUCUCCGUUAAAGAAAUGUCUUCGAGUCCCUGAGCAUGUUAUUGAGAUUUCAGAUGUUAACCGUGGACCAGAUUUAACCUACUUGGAAUAUUCCAUAAAGGUUUUGGAUCAAAAGGAUCGGUCACUUGAAGAAAAGUUAUCAAAUUUUACAAGCUACAGUGGAACUAACCCAAUGAAGAUAAAACCACAUAGGAAUUGGAGGAGUAUCUAGAAGAGCGUGUUCCUGAGUUUCUAGUGCCCUGUAAACCUAAGGUUUGUGUAGUUCAUUUCUGAUAUAAACUAAUAAGGACACACCCUUGCCUUAUAGGAGUAAUGGGGAAAGAAACUGGUGAAGCGUUUCCUUUUCCAUUAUCUAGCCUAGAGUUUUAAUCUCGGGACGAGAUUUCUUUUUAGGGGGGAAGACUGUAACACCCCUGGUGUUACAUGAACUAAAACUCUGACAUGUCAUCAUAAGCAUUUGCAUUAACUUGCUUGUUACACCUAGAAUGCAUUCACUAGAUCAAUAAUUUUACAAUAAGGUGAUGCUAUGUGCAGAGCAGAGGACCUAGUUAAGGACCUAAGCUAAACAGGAGUAGGUCAUCCCUUGAGCAAGUAACAAAUUGACUUGGAGUCUUGAAGUGCUAAAGAAAAUUCCUAGAGUCUAUAGAAAAUUUGUUUUCAAAGAUAGAUCAAGUGGAAGAAAUACUUGGACCGAAGGAUUAACUUCAAAAUCCUAAGGCUUGAAAACCUUGAUUGGAAUUGAGUGUAAGCAAACAACUCCUAAAUCAAGGAUACUUUGGACCUGAGUUCUAUAAGCCAAAGUUGGAUUUGAGAUUAAGGAGCAACUUUGCUUUAGGAGGAUGGAUAAGUUUGCUUUUGAUAUGUGGAUUAAGAGUAUAUCUAACCCCUAAACUGGAGCCCAAAAGUGGAUUUGGAGAUCUAGCCACAUUUUGCAAGAGGUAAAAAUACCAAGUUGGUAGGAUUUCCAAAGCUACACAAUUUUAUUAUUUGGAGAUUCCCAUGUUUUGUGAAGAAAAUUGGAGUAAAUCACAGAAGUUCAGUUUUGAGCUCAAAUUGGAAUUGCUGAAAAUAGUAGCAACUAGGCAAUUUUGGUCCUUUAUAACUUCUGAUCUAUAAACAUUUGGAAGGUGGUCAUUGUAACAAAGUUAUACAGCUAUGUGAGGAGUGUGACUUUGAUGAAGUAACCUAUCCUUAAAUCUAUAUGGAAUUUGGAGAAGAACUGGUUUAAAGAAGAGCUGUUAGAAAAUAUGGAUUUCAGACUUAGUGAAAUUCAGAUUCUGAAUUUCAGCAAUUGGAGCAAACUUUGGGCUAUUGUAGUUUGAAAUCCAAGAGGUUUUGGUUAAUGGUCACUGUAACAAACUUGUUGAGUAAUUGUACGAGAACAACUUGUAUUAAGUGUACUAGCCCUAAAUCCGCAUGGAACUAGGAGAAAAAGUGGUUCAAAGUGGAACUGACAGGUUUUAUUUCAGACUUAGUCUAUGGCUGAUUGAGACCUGAAUUUCAGAUAAAAGUGUCAAGUUUGGAGCUCCUUGGUGGUCAAUCCCUUUGUUUUAGGCUGUAGUUUCUGUAGCAAACUUGGCGACCAAUGUUGGGGGAGUAAUCUCUAGUAAGGGACAUACCCUUAAAACUCCUUAGAAAUGAGAGAAAACACUGCACAAAGUUGUGCUGUCAGAUAAAAGAGUAUUGACUGUUGUGCAGUAGCCUAAGUCUGAAAUAUGUGUCUGAUUAAACUUUGGAGCUUUGUGGUGCUUGAUCUAUAUGCUUUUGGACUGAAGUUAUUGUGGAAAGUUUGAAAACCAUAUGUUAGUGAAUAAGUUCCUUAAAGUGUGUUGGGCGUGACCCUACACAAAAAGUGGUGUAAAUACUGCCCAAAGUGGGACUGUCAGUCACACAAACUGGAUUUCACUCAGUCCAAUGAAAACUGAAUUUCAGUGCAAUUUGCUGAACUUCAGAGCUCUUUUGUGGCUAAUCCAUAAAGUGUUGGACCAUGGUGUCUAUAGUGAAUUGGUAAACCAUAGAAAGGUGAACAACUCUCUUGAGAAGGUUUGGGUCUGGUACUGUAUAGAAACCUAAGUUAAAUGCCUCGAACAUUGACUGCCAAUCGGUGCUGUGAAUUGAAUGUGAUUCAAAAGCUAAAAACGAAUUUCAAUAAAUUAUGACCAACUCCGGAGUAUCAUAACUUGUGAUUCUUGUGUGAUUGGACCAAGAAGUUUGUAGUAACGUUGGAGACUGUAUAUCAAUGAACAAAUUUUAUUAUGAAAGUUUGGCUUGACACCAUAUUGGUUUGGGAGAAAAGGGAGGCUCAAACUGCCUCGAGCAGAAAAGAAGGAGGAGGGGGUGAUCUGAACUCGAAAUUCAGACCAGCAGAAAGGCGCUAAUAAAAUUUGGUUGAUUUCUGGGCACCGUAACUUUGGAACUGUGAAGUUUGAGUCCCAGAACCCUAUAGUGACUUUGAAGAUCUUUGAUUAGUGCUGCACUAACCUUGGAGAAAAUUGGGUCAAAAUAUGUGCUGUCAGAUGGGGAGGUUAGUUUGUUAUUCAGUUAGCUGAAUUGGAGUUCUGUGUUUUCACCCAUUUUUUUGGGUUGUUUGGUGUUGAAUCCAGGAAGUAUAAGGCUAUGGUUUCUAUAGCAAUUUGAUAGAGGGUUGAUUGGAGAACAUAUAUAUUCAGCAUAAUCUCUCUGUUAUUACUGCAAAUUGAGAGAUCAAGGGGGGAGAAGGGUGGAGUGUUUAGUCGGCAUCGAAGUUGAUGGCAGAUAUUUCUGGAAAAAAAAAUCUGCGCUCUGCUGUGCUCCAUUUGCACGGUUGUGGAUGAGAUCAAAUGCGUGGGGGUCCGCAGGGUGGGUUCACUCGGCUGCUGCUGCAUUUUUGUCUCAAGUGGUUGAAGCGUGGUUCAGAUUUUGGGUAGAAUAAAACAGAGUUCCAUUUUUUUUAUCUCCACCGCCCUCUCCUUUCUACCUAAUCCGUAAGCUGUCCUUGCUUCUAGUCAUUUACGUCAUUCUUAUCCCGUCACGCGCUCAGUUUGCUCGUUCGUUUCCAGCCCCUCGUCUUCCUCCCUGUCGUCGUGCUCCUCAACCGAGGUUGCGAGGACUCUCCCUGUAAUCGUCUCCUCCAUGUCGGCAUCUUCUCCCAUCUCUCCAACGCCGUCCAGCCACUAAGCAGCUCGUCGAAGCAGCAACGCUCAACACCGGCUCCUAGCAUCUGUGCUUCGCCCCACCGUGGAGCCACCUCGUCGGCGUCCCCUCACUCCUCGUCCAUUCAUCGAGCUCGCCGAGCCCCUUCUCAGCCGUGCCGAGUCUCCAAGCCGGCUAUCGACGCUCGCCUUUGUUUUCGUGUUGCCGGCACCCAGUCCUUUUCUCCACGUCAGAGUCCUUGCCUCACCGUGACCGGCACUCCCCGAGGUAAUCGCAACCAAGACUUGGUAUGUUCUGAAUUCCCUGACAUACGUUGAUGCUUACCAUCCUGCUCGAUUGAACUCUACCGUAAUAGAUCCUUGGGAACAUCAUGUUGCCGUCAGUGAACGCCGCUUCGAACCCAUCGCCUUGUGGACCAGCCAAUCCGAGUGUUCUUUGAUUGAGUUUGCGUGAGCGCCGUAGCGGUGGUGAGUUACCGAUCCUUCCCAAACUAAUUAAUCGGGCGCUACCAUGCUAUGUUGUUAGGAACAGGCUCACCGGAGUCCCGAUUUCCACCAGCACCGUGGUCAUGAUGAUCCCUAUGGUGUAAUGGUCAAAUUAGUGCAUGGGUUUAUGUCGCAUUAGCUCAGGGGUGACUAUGUGAAGGAGGAUAAAGUUAGGGAUCUCGGUGUAUUGUCAGAGAGACGGAGAAAUAGGGGCCCUGGGUCUUGAUUGAGUUCUCCAUAAGCCAAGGGCCUCCGUGCAAAGUCGGGUGUGUGGACGCGCGGGCUCCCGGCCACAGGCCGUCUUUGGCCUGGUAGUGGGCCGUGUGGGUCGGAGUCAGCCUAGGCUUAAAUCGUUUCCCUUUAUUAUUUAUCUAAGAGCUUUGAAAGGGUGCCAAAAAUUGUAGAAAAAUCCAAAAAUAGCAAGACAAAUUUUGUUGGAUGUCUAGAUUCAUGAGCUCUCUGGUAAAGUUAGAUUUAGGAUUUUAAGGCAGUUAUAAAAUAUUAAGUGAAUUAAAGGUGCUCUUGGAAGGACUAUUGGAAUUUUAGAAAUAAGAGUUGAGCACCAAAAAUCAUGAAAUUGUUUGGAGAAGCUUGUAAUCAGAAGAUGAACCCUUGGGCAAAGUUUGGAACUAUUUGGAUAUGAUUUAGUUUGCAAACUAAUUAUUGCCCAAAAAGAAAAGGAUUUCACCUAUGAAAUGAGGACACCUAGUAGUUUAGUGAAGUGAGGGACAUGCUUAAGAAGUUUUAAGCUUUGGAUGAGAUAUAGGUUGGAUUAGUUCCCUAGUUUACCUAAGUGAAUUCAAUUGGUCACUUUUAUUGAAUGCUAGGUUAUGUAGAAGUAUGUGUAUACUUGUCAUGUACUUAUUUAGGAGUGUUUAUGUUCCCCACCUCUCCUUAUGAGAGUUUGCAUUUCAUAUCAUAACAUAAGCAUACAUGUAUUUGUAAUUGACUUGUAGAACACCUAGAAGAAGUGGUGUUUGAAGGAGUCUACUCCAAUGCCUGCUCAUCAAGUGGAUGGAGCUAUCUAACUAAAGGUUGGGUAGAAGGAUUUUGGGAUCUUCUCCUGCACUAAGGCAAGCCCCGGUGCAUUUGCCCCUUCCUUGUGUUUUAAAUGCUUUAUCACCUAAAAUGAUGCAUUAGGUGAUAGGAGUUGUGUGAUGAACAAUUGAUGCAUUACCAUUCCUUGGAAGUUGAAUACUUUACCUUGAUCCCUGAUUUAUAAAAAGAACUGAUAAUGCUUAACCCUGCUUAGAAACAGAAAAAUCAUUUGUUUUCAAAAAGAAUGAUUGUGGAACAUUGGUUAUGGGCUUUUUGAUUCAAAAAUCAAAGCAAACUAAGGUGAUGAUUCCUCUACGGCCGGAGUGGACUCGUCACUCGAAAAGAGUACCCCUGUCGGGUACCAAAAAUGGGGAAAUGGUUAAUAAAUCUAGACCAGGCGCUGAGCAGACAGAGUCGCCCGUCUGUGUCGAUUAAGGACCGUACCGUUGACUAGCCUGUUGUGGUUGAGACUUUGCAACUAGCCACAUACCCUGGUAUGGGACAGGGUAAGCUUGAACCCGGCUAUUCCAUACGUGAAGAGACAAUCGCGCACUGGGAGUGGAGAGAUGGCGGGAGUAGCAUGUACCCUCCUGGCAUAGUAGCACGCCUGGUAGGGUAAUGUGCUCUCGGGUGGCGCGGACCUGUUCAUGUAAUGGAGGACUCCGUGGGAACGGUUGACAUAUGCAAGAGUUAAGUGCUACAUAUGUCGUGUGGUUAGAGAUCCCCAGCUAGGUAUAAUCGGUUCGAAUCGUCGUUGCUCCUCGGUUAUGGAGACUCAUCCCAGUGACCAUCAUCGUAGUUAGCAAGUGAAAUAUGAGAAUGAAUAAAAUGGAGCUAGUAUAGGCCAAGCGCUUGAACUAGAUCAUGCAAAUAUAGAUUCAGGUAAUAACCUAACUAGUGAAAUAAAACUUGGCUUAAGGAUCAACUGGUAGCAAGCUUUUCUGCAAAAAAAGAGUCUUUGAUCAUUGAUAAACUUUACCUUGACUCCCAAUCAGCUAGCAUACCCUUGAGAGUCUUUUCUUUAGUCGGGUAAGUCUUGCUGAGUAAUUGCAUACUCAGGGUUUUAUCCCCUGUUGUUUUUGCAGGAGAAGUUUUAUUCCCUUAUCUUAUGGUUAGUUACUUCAUGUGGAGGCCUUGAAGCUUAGAAUGUUUAUGUGUAUCUCUUAUGGAGAGGCUUCACCCUUCCAAUUAUUUUAAUAAGUUAUGCACUUUGGGUAUUAUCAGGACUUGUAAUAAUUACCAUUCUUCUUAUGUUGUAAAACUUGAGC